rnacentral:rRNA from 1 species
AAAAGGGAAUUCCCCUAGUAACGGCGAGUGAAGAGGGAAGAGCCCAAGAUUGAAAGCUGGCGUCUUCGGCGUCCGCAUUGUAAUCUCAAGAAGUGUUUUCCGCUUCGGACCAAGCCUAAGUCCCUUGGAAAAGGGCAUCAUAGAGGGUGAUAAUCCCGUACAUGGCUUGGAGCGCCCGAAGCUUUGUGAUACGCUUUCUAAGAGUCGAGUUGUUUGGGAAUGCAGCUCAAAAUGGGUGGUAAAUGCCAUCUAAGGCUAAAUAUUGGGGAGAGACCGAUAGCGAACAAGUACAGUGAUGGAAAGAUGAAAAGAACUUUGAAAAGAGAGUUAAACAGUACGUGAAAUUGCCAAAAGGGAAGGGUAGGAGGUCAGAGAUGCGGCCUGGGAUUCAGCCUUGCUUUUGCUUGGUGUUUUUCCCAGAUUGCAGGCCAACGUCGGUUUUGGGCACUGGAGAAGGGUGGAAGGAAUGUGGCACCUCUCGGGGUGUGUUAUAGCCUCCUACUGGAUACAGCGACCGAGACCGAGGACAGCAGCGUACUCGCAAGAGCGGGCCUUCGGGCACCUUUACGCUUAGGGCGUUGGCAUAAUGGCCCUCUACCACCCGUCUUGAACCACGGACCAAA